AGUCUGGUGCCAGCAGCCGCGGUAAUUCCAGCUCCAAUAGCGUAUAUUAAAGUUGUUGCGUCUAAAAAGCUCGUAGUUUGAAAACUUGCCUUGGCUUACAACAGACGUCUAAGGGCGUCACCGUUUGUCGAGAGCAAAUAUGGGUGACUGUUCUUGCCUUCUUCACUGAUUGGCUCGUAAAAGUCAUCGAAGAUCACUUUGAUUAAAUUAGGGUGCUCAAAGCAAGUGUGCUACUUGAAUAUGAAUGCAUGGAAUGAUGGAAUAUGUUGUUGUUCUAUUUGUUGGUUUUUUGAAUGACGAAAUGAUUGAAAGGAACUGUUGGGGGCAUUCGUAUUGUUGUGAGAGAGGUGAAAUUCUUAGACCAUAGCAAGACGAACUACUGCGAAAGCAUUUGCCAAGAAUGUUUUCAUUGAUCAAGAACGAAAGUUAGAGGUUCGAAGGCGAUCAGAUACCGCCCUAGUUCUAACCAUAAACUAUGCCGACUAGCAAUUUGCUUUGUAUUUUUAUGACUAAGUGAGAGGCCACGGGAAACCAAAGUAGGGUUAUGGGGGAAGUAUGGUUGCAAAGCUGAAACUUAAAGGAAUUGACGGAAGGGCACCACCAGGAGUGGAGCCUGCGGCUUAAUUUGACCCAACACGGGAAAACUUACCUGGUCCUGACACUAGAAGGAUUGACAGAUUGAUAGCUCUUUCUUGAUUUGGUGGAUGGUGGUGCAUGGCCGUUCUUAGUUGGUGGAGUGAUUUGUCUGGUUAAUUCCGAUAACGAACGAGACUCUAGCCUAUUAAAUAAUAUGCGGAAUCAAUUUCUCCCGCGUUAUUUCUUAAUGGGAUCAAGCGUUUUUAACGCUUUGAAACAGAGCAAUAACAGGUCUGUGAUGCCCUUAGAUGUUCGGGGCUGCACGCGCGCUACAUUGAAGAACAAAGUGAGCCCUCUGGCUUUUAACAAAGCUAGAAAUCUUUUAAUGUUCUUCUUAAUGGGGAUAGGGGAUUGCAAUUGUGCCCCUUGAACGAGGAAUUCCCAGUAAGUGCUAGUCAUUAGCUAGUACUGAUUACGUCCCUGCCCUUUGUACACACCGCCCGUCGCUACUACCGAUUGAAUAGUUUAGUGAGAUCAUCUGAGUGUUUGUAUGUGCAUUCUGUGCUUGUAUGGUGUACGAAGAAGAUCAAACUUGAUUAUUUAGAGGAAGUAAAAGUCGUAACAAGGUUUCCGUAGGUGGUCCUGCGGAAG
rnacentral:rRNA from 1 species